rnacentral:rRNA from 1 species
GGAGUUAGCCGGUGCUUCUUCUGUGAGUGAUGUCCUUCCUGCCGGCUAUUAACCCGCAGGCCUUCUUCCUCACUGAAAGUGCUUUACAACCCGAAGGCCUUCUUCACACACGCGGCAUGGCUGGAUCAGGGUUGCCCCCAUUGUCCAAUAUUCCCCACUGCUGCCUCCCGUAGGAGUCUGGGCCGUGUCUCAGUCCCAGUGUGGCUGAUCAUCCUCUCAGACCAGCUACGGAUCGUCGCCUUGGUGAGCCGUUACCUCACCAACCAGCUAAUCCGACAUAGGCUCAUCCGAUAGCGCGAGGCCCGAAGGUCCCCCGNUUUCCCCCGUAGGGCGUAUGCGGUAUUAGCCUGGGUUUCCCCAGGUUAUCCCCCACUACCGGGCAGAUUCCUAUGCAUUACUCACCCGUCCGCCGCUCGCCACCAGGGAGCAAGCUCCCCGUGCUGCCGCUCGACUUGCAUGUGUAGCGUCGCCGCCGACGCGUCAUCUGAGCGAGAGUACAACUACUCGA